rnacentral:lncRNA from 1 species
GUCACGGUGGAGAGGAUCACCGCGGCCCCCAUCACCGACGCGAAGCUGAAGGCCAACCUCGAUGUGUGCUGGAAGAGCUACGUGGACUCGCUCGACACCCUGCAGAAGGCGGGCAGUAACCUGCAGACGGGGGCGCCACACAACGAGUUGGUCAGCCACAUCUCGGCCGCCAUCACCUACGUGGGCCACUGCAACGACGCCUUCAGCCAGAACCCCGGCCUGGUGUCGCCGGUGGCGGACGUCACUAGUAUCCUAAAGAAGCUCAUCAGCAACAGUCUUGCCUUGGCCGUGAGCCUACAGUUCCACCACUAAGUAGUAUGCAUGCGUGUGGAACGUCGAGAGCGAGAGAGAGGAAGAGGAAGGGUCAAACGUGUUGACCAUGCAUGGAGGACGUAAUCUUUAUAUGUGAUUGUAAUAACGGUGGAUAACAAAGAGCCUGAAGGAGUUCCGAUGCUAAUUGUUUA